GACGAACGCUGGCGGCGUGCCUAAUACAUGCAAGUAGAACGCUGACGGAGGAGCUUGCUUCUCUGGAUGAGUUGCGAACGGGUGAGUAACGCGUAGGUAACCUGCCUGGUAGCGGGGGAUAACUAUUGGAAACGAUAGCUAAUACCGCAUAAGAGUAGAUGUUGCAUGACAUUUGCUUAAAAGGUGCAAUUGCAUCACUACCAGAUGGACCUGCGUUGUAUUAGCUAGUUGGUGGGGUAACGGCUUACCAAGGCGACGAUACAUAGCCGACCUGAGAGGGUGGUCGGCCACACUGGGACUGGGACACGGCCCAGAAUCCUACGGGAGGCAGCAGUAGGGAAUCUUCGGCAAUGGACGGAAGUCUGGCCGAGCAACGCCGGGUGAGUGAAGGAAGUUUUCGGAUCGUAAAGCUCUGUUGUAAGGGAAGGACAAGUGUGAGUGUAGAAAGUUCACGCUGUGACGGUAUCUUACCAAAAAGGACCGGCUAACUACGUG
rnacentral:rRNA from 1 species